UUACCCUACUGCAGCCACCCUGCCAGCCCCCAAUUUCAGCUUCAAGCCAUGCCUAGAGGCAGGCUAUCAAAUUCCCAAACCUGCUUAAGCACGUUCAAGCUAACUUCAGUUAGCAUUCUCAAUAUCCAAGAUUUUCAGACUUCUUCCUCACACUAGAAAAUCCAAGUGCAAAGGUAAGCUUAAGCUUUAAACCUGAAUUUCCUUCAUUCUUUCAUAGUUCAACUGCAAAUAACUAAAGGAAAAUGCUGCUACAGUUUCACUACAUCCGUUCAUUGAAGUUCAGUUAACAGCAGCUCAUCAGACCCCAACCAUUUGCCAAAUUUAUCAAAAGCAAGGUUCAUUUCAAACUUUCAAGUUUCCUUACGUAUCAUUCAGCCACCCAUUUAUUCAUAUAUGUUAUAUCAGCAGCCCACAAAUCAUUUAGCAAAAAUACUUCAGUCAAAGAAAUUGUUUGUUUAUGGAUUUAAUUGUAGUACUUAAUAAACUUUUGGGUGUUAGUUGCUAUCAACGUUAGGUUAGGGGCUUAAGUAUAGUUGGGAUGGUAACAUUAGGGGUGUUUUUGCAUAUUAACCUUAUGGUUAAUAUAUAUUUAUGUAAAUGUCAUAUACAUACACUCUGUUCAUAUAUAUAUAAGCAUGACUGUUGUUUAAAAAGAAAAAGGGAGUAGAAGAAUGUUUUGAAGCAUGAUGAUAAAAAUGGAGUCUUGAGUCUUGUUUUUGCUUGUCGGGUCUGCCGAGUUUAGGAGAGAGUGUGGAGGGUGCCGGUAAUGGUGGCUUGGCUACUGUCGCCGGAAGGACGAGUCGUCGGAGGUGGAGGGAGGCAGGGCACGGCGGUGGUUAGCUCCUGCUGCCUGCUUCAUCUGCUGCUGUCGGCCGAAGAUUUGAGGGAGAGGCGGCGAGGCAAGGGCCUUGUCGCCGCUCUGAGCCGGGUCAGGGUAGAAACGGUGGCGGUGAUUCUCGCCGCUGCCGGUGGAAAUUGGAGAAGAGAGGGAGUGUGGGCGGUGUGAACCGAGAGAGAGAGAGAGGGAGAAGAGAGUCAGGGGCGGCGGCCAUCGUCGCCGGAGACGAAGAGGCCAGAGGGAAUGGGAGGGACAUGCGGCGCAGCUGUGAGUGCGCGUGAGUUAGUGUGCUUGUGUUGUGUGUGUGGUUGUGUUUAAAGUGAAGAAGAAAGGGUUUGGAGGUUGGGCUUGAGCAUUGGGCCGACUUUUAGUUUUUAACCUGGGCCAGAUCUUUUAUUUUCCUAUUUUUUCAUUUGGGCUUGCUUAUUAAUUAAGUUAGGUUUAUUAUUUUAUUUAAUUGGGCCUGAUUUUAUUCUGAUUUUAUUAAAGUGUGGGCUACCUUUACUAAUUUUGUUUGGGCUUCCUUAUUUUAAUUAAUUGAACUAUUAAUUAGUUUAAUUAAUUUAUUUAAAGAAUAAUUUGCAUAAUGGUAUUAUAUUAUUAUUUGCAUAUGUUAAGUAAUGACUUAUUAUAUGCUAAAACAUGACAUGAAAUUUGCAUUUACAUUUUGCAAUAAAAGUAUUUAUAAUUUAUUUAGUUUUUUAUAUAUAAUUCCAAUUAUUAAAGAAAAUCGAGUAAGGAUAUUAUUGGUGUCCUUAACUCAAAAAUUUUAGUUUUCAAUCAUUUAUUCAUUAAAUUUUAGUUUUCAAUCAUUUACUAGUCUUUUCGUUGGUUUCAGGAACUAUAUGAAAAAGCUUAGAGUCAAG
rnacentral:lncRNA from 1 species